rnacentral:rRNA from 1 species
GAUGAACGCUGGCGGCGUGCCUAAUACAUGCAAGUCGAGCGAACGGACGAGAAGCUUGCUUCUCUGAUGUUAGCGGCGGACGGGUGAGUAACACGUGGGUAACCUACCUAUAAGACUGGGAUAACUUCGGGAAACCGGAGCUAAUACCGGAUGAUAUUUUGAACCGCAUGGUUCAAAAGUGAAAGACGGUCUUGCUGUCACUUAUAGAUGGAUCCGCGCUGCAUUAGCUAGUUGGUAAGGUAAUGGCUUACCAAGGCAACGAUGCAUAGCCGACCUGAGAGGGUGAUCGGCCACACUGGAACUGAGACACGGUCCAGACUCCUACGGGAGGCAGCAGUAGGGAAUCUUCCGCAAUGGGCGAAAGCCUGACGGAGCAACGCCGCGUGAGUGAUGAAGGUCUUCGGACCGUAAAACUCUGUUAUUAGGGAAGAACAUAUGUGUAAGUAACUGUGCACAUCUUGACGGUACCUAAUCAGAAAGCCACGGCUAACUACGUG